rnacentral:rRNA from 1 species
GCAGCCGCGGUAAUACGGAGGAGGCAAGCGUUAUCCGGAAUUAUUGGGCGUAAAGAGUCCGUAGGUGGUUCAUCAAGUCUGCGGUUAAAGAGUGCAGCUCAACUGCAUAAAGGCCGUGGAAACUGUUGAACUAGAGUAUGGUAGGGGUAGGGGGAAUUCCCAGUGUAGCGGUGAAAUGCGUAGAGAUUGGGAAGAACACCGGUGGCGAAAGCGCCCUGCUGGGCCAUAACUGACACUGAGGGACGAAAGCUAGGGUAGCGAAUGGGAUUAGAUACCCCAGUAGUCCUAGCCGUAAACGAUGGAAACUAGGCGUAGCUUGUAUCGACCCGAGCUGUGCCGAAGCUAACGCGUUAAGUUUCCCGCCUGGGGAGUACGCACGCAAGUGUGAAACUCAAAGGAAUUGACGGGGGCCCGCACAAGCGGUGGAGUAUGUGGUUUAAUUCGAUGCAACGCGAAGAACCUUACCAAGGCUUGACAUCCCGCGAAUCCCGGUGAAARUCGGGAGUGCCUUAGGGAGCGCGGAGACAGGUGGUGCAUGGGCUGUCGUCAGCUCGUGUCGUGAGAUGUUGGGUUAAGUCCCGCAACGAGCGCAACCCUCG